UGCCGCGCAUUCAGAACGACUCAAGGGACAAUUUUUCAAGCUGGCAGUCCUUUUAGCAUAGCUCGGCAUACUCAUUCAUGAGUAAAUUCACUCACACUCACUCAUAUUCAUUUGAACGAGGUGGAUGUGAGUGAGUUUUCAUGAGUGUGACUAUGAGUGAGUAUGAACGUAAGUGAGUACUCCGAGGAAGUCCCAAAAAUCGACCCUCUCGAGCCAAGGUGAGCCAUGCCAACUACGCAUCCGCAGGGCAAUAUGCACACCUAGAGCCUCUACUUCCACGUAAUGCAAUAGGACAUGAAGAACAGUGAGAGAGAGGCUCAACACAUCACACAAAGGUGGAUUGCCACCGGACAACAGGAAGACAAGAGGCCUACACGGCUGUGGUGGUCGACAGCCAGGGAGAGGUACGGGACGCCCGGACUAUACUCACUAAGGAUUUCACGGUUGCGGAACAAGCCGUGAUUGCUUUAGCUAUCAGGAACAGAAAAUGGUCAUACGUCUAUAGCGACUUCAAAGCAGCAAUUACGAGCUUCGACAAGGGCUAUGUUGCUGGGACUGUGGUUAAACUUAUGAACAAAGUCAAUCCUAUCGAUACUUAAA